AUUGAACGCUGGCGGCAGGCCUAACACAUGCAAGUCGAACGAGUGGCGGACGGGUGAGUAAUGUCUGGGAAACUGCCUGAUGGAGGGGGAUAACUACGGGAAACGGUAGCUAAUACCGCAUACCAUGGGAUGUGCCCAGAUGGGAGUAGCUAGUAGGUGGGGUAAUGGCUCACCUAGGCGACGAUCCCUAGCUGGCCUGAGAGGAUGACCAGCCACACUGGAACUGAGACACGGCCCAGACUCCUACGGGAGGCAGCAGUGGGGAAUAUUGCACAAUGGGCGAAAGCCUGAUACAGCCAUGCCGCGUGUAUGAAGAAGGCCUUCGGGUUGUAAAGUACUUUCAGCGAGGAGGCGUUACUCGCAGAAGAAGCACCGGCUAACUCCGUGCCAGCAGCCGCGGUAAUAC
rnacentral:rRNA from 1 species